rnacentral:rRNA from 1 species
ACUCAAAUGAAUUGACGGGGACUUGCACAAGCGGAGGAUCAUGUGGUUUAAUUCGAUGGUAAACGAAGAACCUUACCAGGGUUAGAAAUCUAGUUGAAGCUAAGCAGAAACGUUUAGCGCCGCAAGGCAAUUAGACAGGUGCUGCAUGGUCGUCGUCAGUUCGUGAUUUGAAUUGUUCCCUUCAGUGGGGUAACGAACGCAACCCUCAUUGCCUGUUACAAGUGUCAGGCGAGACUGCCCAGCUUUUAGUCCGGAAACGCAAGUUUCUUGGUUAGAAGCUGGGAGGAAGGUGAGGAUGACGCCAGAUCAGCAUGGCCCUCUGAUACCCUGGGCUACACACGUGAUACAAUGCAUUCUACAACGCGUUGCGACGGGGAGACCCCGAGCCAAUCGUAAUAAAGGAAUGCCUAGUUCGGAUAGGAGUCUGCAACUCGACUCCUUGAAGCUGGAUUCGCUAGUAAUCACAGGUCAGCUAUACUGUGGUGAAUACGUUCUCAAGUCUUGUACACACCGCCCGU